UGUUGCCUACUGCACACCCCCUGACCAGGGCCACGGAUCAAGCCUACAACCAGGGUGUGGAGAGAGUUCCUGGCCCAUCAAGCUUUACAUAUACAUGAAAAUAGAGCGAGAGUUGUAGUUGUUUCUUGCUGUGCCUCCAAUGAUGUACUUAGAAGCAGGUUGAACUCACUCAUUGAUACUCCAGAGCUGGCUUCGUUAUGGGGUUGCAGUUGCCUGUUCUGUGAUGUGACUUCAGAGUUUUUCAAAACCCACGGUUAUCACAGGAGAUGCAGCUUAGGAUACUAUUACCUUCCUACAUGCUGAAAUCUGACCUCAAGUCUUCUCUAUCCCACCAAGCCAAGACUGCCUCGUGGUUCUUACAGCA